GCUCUGCUGAGGAGUCCCAUACUAGGACGAAACGGCCGUCCAGUGC
rfam:Schistosoma margrebowiei strain Zambia genome assembly, scaffold: SMRZ_scaffold0001044